UACGGAGGGGGCUAGCGUUGUUCGGAAUGACUGGGCGUAAAGAGCGCGCAGGCGGUCGUUCAAGUCGAGUGUGAAAGCCCCCGGCUCAACUGGGGAGGGUCACUCGAUACUGAUCGACUUGAAGGCAGGAGAGGGAAGCGGAAUUCCCGGUGUAGUGGUGAAAUGCGUAGAUAUCGGGAGGAACACCAGUGGCGAAGGCGGCUUCCUGGCCUGUUCUUGACGCUGAGGCGCGAAAGCUAGGGGAGCAAACGGG
rnacentral:rRNA from 1 species